rnacentral:rRNA from 1 species
UACAGAGGUCUCAAGCGUUGUUCGGAUUCAUUGGGCGUAAAGGGUGCGUAGGUGGCGCCAUAAGUCGGAUGUGAAAUUUCGGAGCUUAACUCCGAAACUGCAUUCGAUACUGCGGUGCUUGAGGACUGGAGAGGAGACUGGAAUUCAUGGUGUAGCAGUGAAAUGCGUAGAGAUCAUGAGGAAGACCAGUGGCGAAGGCGGGUCUCUGGACAGUUCCUGACACUGAGACACGAAGGCCAGGGAGCAAACGGG